UACGUAGGGGGCAAGCGUUGUCCGGAUUUAUUGGGCGUAAAGAGCGUGUAGGCGGUCCGGUAAGUCCGCUGUGAAAGUCGGGGGCUCAACCCUCGAAUGCCGGUGGAUACUGUCGGGCUAGAGUGCGGAAGAGGCGAGUGGAAUUCCUGGUGUAGCGGUGAAAUGCGCAGAUAUCAGGAGGAACACCAAUUGCGAAGGCAGCUCGCUGGGACGUUACUGACGCUGGAGACGCGAAAGCGUGGGGAGCAAACAGG
rnacentral:rRNA from 1 species